GGGAAUGUGGCUUAGUGGUAGAGUGCUUGCCUAGCAUGCAUGAAGCCCUGGGUUCGAUUCCUCAGUACCA
rfam:Dipodomys ordii contig_67630, whole genome shotgun sequence.